rnacentral:rRNA from 1 species
AGAGUUUGAUCAUGGCUCAGAAUCAACGCUGGCGGCGUGCCUCAGACAUGCAAGUCGAACGCGAAAGCCCUUCGGGGCAAGUAGAGUGGCGCACGGGUGAGUAACACGUAGGUAAUCUACCUUUGGAUUGGGAAUAACAACCGGAAACGGUUGCUAAUACCGAAUAAUGCAGCGGCACCUAAUGGUGACAGUUGUUAAAGCGGGGGGUCGCAAGACCUCGCGUCUGAAGAGGAGCCUGCGGCAGAUUAGCUAGUUGGUAAGGUAAUGGCUUACCAAGGCGAUGAUCUGUAGCCGGCCUGAGAGGGCGGUCGGCCACACUGACACUGACAUACGGGUCAGACUCCUACGGGAGGCAGCAGUCGGGAAUUUUGGGCAAUGGGCGAAAGCCUGACCCAGCAACGCCGCGUGAAGGAUGAAAUCCCUCGGGAUGUAAACUUCGCAAGAACGGGAAGAAUAAGUGAGAGCUAACAUCUCUUACGAUGACGGUACUGUUUGUAAGCUCCGGCUAACUCCGUGCCAGCAGCCGCGGUAAUACGGGGGGAGCAAGCGUUGUUCGGAUUUACUGGGCGUAGAGGGCGCGUAGGCGGCCACCGCAAGUCGACUGUGAAAUCUCCGGGCUUAACCCGGAACGGUCAGCCC